GUUGAACAUCUGUGGCCCCCUGGUGUUCCUUCAUACACAGAAAGAGCUGCCCCCAAGUUGUCAGUAAUAGAGGGUAUGGGGCGGUACCUAAACCUUGUUCUCUCUUUGCAUGUCCACCAGGAGGGCCAGUGGGUAGAGUCUAGAAAACAAAUCAACAGAGAUUCUUGAGGGACUGAAAACAAACUGAGCCUCCAAAUGAAGAGAUAAUUGGGAUUACAAUCUGGGAUUAGCCAUGGCAAUGGGACAUAACAAUCUAUGACCUCUAGGAUUCUGGAUAGCAUAGGGACUUUUCUGUCAUAAUUGGGACCCGUGGCAACCAAAUCAAUGACACUGGGUUGUCAGUGUCAGUAAAGGCCUGCUUUCUGCCUAUACUCAAAUCCCCUUGGGCCCUUGACUUUUUAACUUGCCCUACAAAACAAGUAUCCCUGAAGAUUCAUGUGUGAAUUCGUAGUAACUGGAUACUGGGAUUUAGAUUCUAUGGUAGCCUGGCAACUGGACACAAUAGAAUCUGUGACCUCAGGUCAGAUAGUGUCCAUUCUGGAGAGCUGCAGCUCUGGAUUGUGGGAUGGACAAAGAGGAGUCCCCCAUCAUCCACAGGUAUCCGCUUGGUCUUAUUUCCUCAUUUGUGUUCAUAGAUGAGUUUGUAAAUAUGACUUUAUGUGUGUUUGUGAGUGUGUACAUCACCUCCAUUCUCCCACUUUGCCCUUUGGACUCUCUAUAUGUAGGUGUGUGUGGAAUCCAUAAAAAAACCCCAGCAGCAGGCCCGUAUGACUGCAUUCAAGAGAUGUCUAGGCUAUUCAGGAUCAUAACGGGAGAGGAGGAGUGUAACCCUGGCAGUGAGACAAACGAAAUCUUUGACCUUCUUGAAGGUGAGACACUGACCAGUCUAGAGAUGCUCAGCUCUGCUUUUUAACACUCAGGUAAUGAGGACUCUGACAUUCGACCCCAACUGUGGGGUAGUCUGAUGGCUUGUGCGUGUACAAACCCGGGAUUCUUCCCCUUUGCCCUUUGGGUUUAUCCUUGGUAUAUGGUUUGGAACAGCCCUGGAUAUGAUGAUUCUUGAUGUCUAUCUGCAAAAUUAAGGGAUAGUUGGGAUUAUGAUGUAGAUGGGAGGGAAUAACCCUGGCCACUGGAUGUAACAGAAUCUCCAAGGUCAGAUGCUAAACAUUAGAGAAGCUCAGCCUUGUGGUACCAACCUUAUUCUUUAAAAAAAAUUCUUACCCUCCAUCUUAGCAUCAAAAUUGUGUUGGUUCCAAGGCAGAAGAGCAGUAAGGGCUAGGCAAUUGGGAUUAAGGAACUUGCCCAGGGUCACCCAGCUAGGAAGUGUCUGAGGUCACAUUUGAAACCAAGAUUUCCUAUCUCUGGGCCUGGCUCCCUAUCCACUGAGCCACCCAGCUGCCCUACAAAAUAUAGAUUAUUGGGCCUCAAAAUAAAUUGGUAAUUUGGAUUAUAAACA
rnacentral:lncRNA from 1 species